AGGCCCAGGAACCAAUCCUCAGUGAAUACUGAAGGAUUAAUGUAGUCUCUUUUUUUUUUUUUAAAGGAAUAUCCCAGAUGGCUGAUAGACACAGUGAGAAGGAACAUCUGUUACUGAGAAAUUAGGACAUCAGGAAGACUGGCACACUCUGACUAGAACUUCAGAGGGAAGGCUUUGUGAAUGGAUGGGACGUGGAUGAACCUGGAAACCAUCAUUCUCAGCAAACUGACCCAGGAACAGGGAAUCAAGCACCGCAUGUUCUCACUCAUAGGCGAGUGUUGAACAACAAGAACACGUGGACACGGAGGGGAGCAUCACACUGAGGUCUGUGGUGGGGGGGACUAGGGGAGGGACAGUGGGGUAUAGGGAGUGGGGAG
rnacentral:lncRNA from 13 species